GAGGGUAUAGCUCAACUGGUAGAGUGCAUGCUUAGCAUAACCCAGCUCCUGGGUUCAAUCCCCAAUACCUCCA
rnacentral:tRNA from 1 species